rnacentral:lncRNA from 1 species
CCUUUUUGAGUACACUCCAAAUGCAAUCCUCGCUGCCAUCAUUAUCUCUGCUGUCAUUGGAUUAAUAGACUAUGAAGCCGCAAUUUUGAUUUGGAAGAUCGACAAAUUUGAUUUUGUUGCUUGCAUGGGAGCAUUUUUUGGUGUGGUUUUCGCCUCGGUUGAGAUAGGUCUUUUAAUUGCAGUAAGUAUUUUUCUGAGGAAGGCUUAACAAUUUCGUAAGAGAAAUCCGCAAUAGUUUAAUGAUUGAAUCUCAUUGUCUUUAUUAUUAAAUAGGUCUCAAUAUCAUUUGCUAAGAUUCUCCUUCAAGUCACAAGGCCACGAACAGCUAUUCUUGGCAAGAUCCCUAGGACAAAUGUAUAUAGGAACAUUCAACAAUAUCCCGAGGCAACACAAGUUCCCGGUGUACUAAUUGUGAGAGUUGAUUCUGCUAUCUACUUUUCAAAUUCUAACUACACGAGAGAGAGGUAAGCCAUUAUUUCUUCUAUCUUCAAUCGGAGUAGAUAGACAGACAGAUAGAUAGAUAGAUAAAAGAGUUUGUAAUUCAUGAGGAUGAACUUGUUUUCCAGGAUACUGAGAUGGGUAACGGAUGAGGACGAGCAACUAGAAUCCGCUGGCUUUCCUAAAAUUAGGUUCUUGAUUGUUGACAUGUCACGUAAGUGGGGAACGAUUAACUUUUAAAAAAACUUCAAGCAAUAUAUAUGCUACCACACUUCUUGCAAAUAAUACUUAAUUAUUUCAUGUUUUUCUACUUACUCUUUUGCAGCGGUGACUGACAUUGACACCAGUGGCAUCCAUGCCUUUGAAGAGUUGCACAGAAGCCUACAGAAGAGAGAAGUUCAGGUAAAGCUUAAUAAUCAUACCCAAAUAUAGUAUCUGAACUAAAAUAAAACCAUAGGUCUCUUGAUAUCUUACCCUUCGUCUGUUUGUGCGCGCACGGACAGCUUGUUCUCUCAAACCCUGGAAGGCAAGUGAUCGACAAGCUGCACGCAUCCAAUUUCGUGAGCCAAAUUGGCGAGGACAAG